CGAUGCAGGAGACAUUAAAAUUUAUGACACUCUCCUACCAAUACCGAAUUAUAUAACAAGUAGAGAUAAUAUUUUUUGAUAUAAGUGAAUUAUUUUGAAAGCCAAGAUAUUGUUUUAGAUUCAAUUUCUGGCACCGAUGCUCAAGAACACAUACUACCUCUGGCUGAAAUUCAAAAUGUUUCAACUACCAAAUCAAUACUUGCUAGCAAUGAAAAUCAUACAAUCAAUAAUAUAGCAGUUGAAUGUCCAGAAGAUGAAAAAGAAACACUAUCUCAUGUUAAAGAACAAAAUGUUGUAAUAACUGAAUUUGAUAGUGAUUAUGACAACAGAGCAUCGUCGUCAGAUAAUUAUAAUCCUGAAAAUGAAUAUUGUAGGGUGCGUAUUAAUGUAAAACUACCCGUCGUACACAAUACGCGGUUCGGUCCAAUAAUAAAAGCCAAAAACUUUAGACAAAAAAAAACACUUAUAUUAUCAAACAAAAAUCAGGCAGUUUUAAGAUGGUUAAAGACUAUGUAAUGUAUGAAAAUUAAAUAAAAAUCAGAAAAAGCAAAAAACCUAUUAACCCGGCCCCGAGAAUAUAAAACCGACCGAAAAAUAAUAAAAUAAAAACUGAUAGCUCUGACAGACGUCGUUCAAGAUGACGUGACAAAUAUGAUAGUACAAGCAGUUCUUCUAGUUGCUCCACUUGCUCUACAUCCUCAAGCUCUUCCAGUUCUUCUAAGGACACAAGCGAAGAAACAAAAAAACUUCCACUAAAGAGGAAGAAGAAAAACAUUGGAACUUGGAAAAAAAAUAUCAGAAAACAAAAAAGACUUAGAGGAGAGGCAUACUUAAGUGUUAAAAAUAUAGAGAAACCAGCAAGGCCGUUACUACCAUGCCCUUGUGGUGGCAAAGCGAAACAUAAAUGCCGCGAAUCUGUUUCAGAAGAGAAUAGGCAAACAUUUAUGAAGAAUUUCGGCAACUCUCAUCAUUAGAUGAUCAGCGGAUAAGGGUCAACACCUGUAAUUAUUUUCUUACCGUUGAUGGACAAAAAAAUAAAGUGUGCCGCGAAUUUUUCAUAUCUACACUUAAUGUAACAGAUUCAUUCAUAAGAAUAUCUUUACAAAAACGAUCUUCUACUGGAACAAUAGAAAAAGACCGCCAUGGCAAACAUACUCCUACUAAUAAGUUAACUGAGGAUUGUUUGCAAAUGGUACGUGAUCACAUUUUAUCAUUUCCUGCAGUUGAGUCCCACUACUGCAGGGCUUUAAAAAAUAUUUGCACCCUACCCUAAACUUGUACAUAAUGCACAAUAUGUUGUACAAACCACAAUGCAAAGAAAAAAAUAUUCGCUCUGGUUCAAUCGAAAGAUACAGACAAGUUUUUAAAGAAUAUAGCGGGGGUUUUCAAGCCAAAGAAGGACCAGGGCAAGAUAUGUUUGGCACAGAAAAAUAUGACUGGAGAAGAAAAAGAAGCGCAAGAACAAACGUUUCAGCAACACUUGAGAUGAAAGGAAUUGGCACGCAAGGCUCGUAGUGCUGAUAAACUGGAAGCAAUAAACAAUUCUACUAUAUUAGCAUUCAAUUUUGACCUUGAAGCUGUACUCACAAAUCCAAAAGGAUCUGCAGGACAGAUAUUUUACUUGCGCAAGUUAGCUGUUUAUAACUUGACAGUUUAUAAUAUUGGAAAUCAAGAUGGCAUUUGCUAUCUAUGGGAUGAAACCCAGGGCAAAAGGGGUUCAAAUGAAAUCGCUUCUUGUAUCUAUGAAUACGUAUUAUCUAAUCCAGAAGUAACAGUUAGAAUGAUGUCAGAUGGCUGUGGUGGCCAGCAAAAAAUUUUAAUUUUGCUGCUAUGUGUAUGCAGCUCAUUUCUGUUCAUCCUAGCUUGAAAAUUAUAGAUCAUACAUUUUUCGAAAGCGGACACACUGAAAUGGAAUGCGAUUCCAUACAUUCCAAAAUUGAGCAGAAAGCUAAGCAUGUUCCUGUAUACAUUCCUGAAGGUUGGGCGCAAGCAAUACGAGAUGCUCGUAUUAAACCACGCCAAUUAUUGAAGUGAGGAGCAGAAGUUUUGAUGAUGUGUAUGAUUUUAAAGAAUUUGCAGCGCAAAAAUUUAAGAUGAACAAAAUACCAUGGCGUAAGGUUUGCUGGAUUCGUUAUCUUAAAUCGAACAUGACGAAGGUGUUUUACAAAAUGGAUUUUGAACAAGAAUUUCAUUACAUAAACUGCAUGAAAAAAUUUCGAGGUCGACCAAAAACAGCGAAGUUAAAAAAAUCAUAUGAAUGUGAGUUACCCAUUGCGAAGCCAAAAUAUCAGGAUUUACAAAAAAUGUGUUCUGAUUUAACAAUCCCAAAAGUUCAUCACAGUUUUUACAAGUCGCUAAAAAUUAAUAAUAAUAUUAGGGAUAGAUUACCAGAACCAGAUGACAGUGAAAAUACUGACUCAGAUGAAAAUUAAACCAUUUCACUUUAUACUCAAGCUCAUUUAAGCAUAUGAAUUUAGUUCCUUUUGUAUUUACAGUAUUUUUUGAGAAAACCUUUUUCGGUUUUAUAGUUUUUUUUUGCCAAUGAUUUAGAAGUUUAAGUAGUUUUGUUUUGUUAGAUUUAUAGAUCCAGAGUUUAUCCUAGUUUCCCAAUGAAAAUACACAUGUUUAUUUAUUGAUAUUUCAAAUCAAUAAAAAUUAUAAAAAUCAUUGUGUCUUUAGGUUUUUUUAUUGUACUGUAAGUGAUUUGAAAGAAAAUUUUGCAAUGCCAAGUCCACGAA
rnacentral:lncRNA from 1 species